rnacentral:lncRNA from 1 species
UCCUUAUAUAAGCCUCCAGCUCAAGGUAUGACUCAGAUCAAAGGUGUGCCUGAAGAUCUGGAUUAAAUGUGUGUGUUGAUAUAGAUUAAGAGUUGUGCCAACCUACCUCAAGAUCUGGAUCAAAAACUUGUGUCUUCUAGCCUCAAGAUCCAGACCAAAGGGUGUCAGUCUGCAUCAGGAAGUCUCCUGGCUCCGUUGCUCCCACCGCCCAGGCAGAGCGUUAUCUCACUUAAAACACGCCAAGCUGAAUAACCUUGAACACAAACCCUUUCAUUCCGUACGUGAUCUCAGGAUGGCACAGGGAAAUAGAGAAGAAUGACUAAAGUAUGCACAGGUGGCAUCAGAGACAAGAAGAGGGCAUUGGGUCCUUCACAGCGGCUCUCAUUUCCAUGUGCAGUAUGUUUAGACCUGGGUCAUAUAUGUUGUAAGCUAAAACUUUCCCUUAUGAGUUCUGGGCUAGUUCUUCCUGUCUCCCCAACAAUCUCAAGGUUUUAUCAAGCAGCAAUCGAUAACAACGUGUUCCCCAACAACUGAGCUUCUCCAUCUCACAGGUUCCUUCUGGAGCCAGCACGACAACCCAGCUGCUUCUCUCUCAGGAACCUGGUGCAUUCCUGCUGAUUUGCAACCUGAAAGGGUGAACCAGCUGCAAGGGAGGCUUCUGAUAGCACAGGCUUCAACUACAACCAAUUGCUGAGGAAUUCUGGGAGGUUUAAUACAUGAAAUCAUUCUAAUUACACAAGAUGAACUCAGAAAAGCUUUCCACUCCAAUUUUAUGGCUGUUUCAUUGCAGGAAAGGUUGAAAGUGUGGGGAGUAAAAAAAGCAAGAUUCUUUCAUUGACUUCCCAUUUUGUUGGAAUAUUAAGAGCUGGGCCAUUACAAAAAUAAAUGAAUGGAUGAGAAACUGCUAC